rnacentral:lncRNA from 1 species
CGACAUACUGAUUUCAAGUGAAGAUUUAAUCACCUAAUGAAACGAAACCAUUUCUUAAAUAAAUGACAGCUAAAACCUGAAAGGAAUAUGGCUUCAGAUCUAUACAGAACUCGAACGAAUUUUGUAGUCACAUAUAAUAAUUUUAGCUAAGUAAGUAACGUUAAUGGCAAGUCGUGAUUUUCUUAUGAUACGAAUAACAGUUUAAUGUCACCUGUUGCGGGCAGUGAAU